rnacentral:rRNA from 1 species
UUGAACAAUCAAAGCAUGUUCGGGCCUGGUUAGUACUACGGUGGGGGACCACGUUGGAAUCCCAGGUGUUGUUCUCU